UAAGGAAUAUUGGUCAAUGGACGCAAGUCUGAACCAGCCAUGCCGCGUGAAGGAUGAAGGUCCUCUGGAUUGUAAACUUCUUUUAUCUGGGACGAAAACGGGAUUUUUAUCUCAAUUGACGGUACCAGAGGAAUAAGCACCGGCUAACUCCGUGCCAGCAACCGCGGUAAUACGUAGGGGGCAAGCGUUGUCCGGAUUUACUGGGUGUAAAGGGCGCGCAGGCGGAAUGGAAAGUCAGUGGUGAAAUCCUACAGCUUAACUGUAGAACUGCCUUUGAUACUUUCAUUCUUGAGUUCGGGAGAGAGAGACGGAAUUCCAGGUGUAGUGGUGAAAUACGUAGAUAUCUGGAAGAACACCAGUCGCGAAGGCGGUCUCUUGGUCCGAUACUGACGCUGAGGCGCGAAAGCGUGGGGAGCAAACA
rnacentral:rRNA from 1 species